GACGAACGCUGGCGGCGUGCUUAACACAUGCCAGUCGAACGGAAAGGCCCUGCUUUUGUGGGGUGCUCGAGUGGCGAACGGGUGAGUAACACGUGAGUAACCUGCCCUUGACUUUGGGAUAACUUCAGGAAACUGGGGCUAAUACCGGAUAGGAGCUCCUGCUGCAUGGUGGGGGUUGGAAAGUUUCGGCGGUUAGGGAUGGACUCGCGGCUUAUCAGCUUGUUGGUGGGGUAGUGGCUUACCAAGGCUUUGACGGGUAGCCGGCCUGAGAGGGUGACCGGCCACAUUGGGACUGAGAUACGGCCCAGACUCCUACGGGAGGCAGCAGUGGGGAAUAUUGCACAAUGGGCGGAAGCCUGAUGCAGCAACGCCGCGUGCGGGAUGACGGCCUUCGGGUUGUAAACCGCUUUCGCCUGUGACGAAGCGUGAGUGACGGUAAUGGGUAAAGAAGCACCGGCUAACUACGUG
rnacentral:rRNA from 1 species